rnacentral:rRNA from 1 species
UACGAGAGGCCCAAACGUUAUUCGGAUUUACUGGGCUUAAAGAGUUCGUAGGCGGCGCAGAAAGUAGGGUGUGAAAGCCCUCGGCUCAACCGAGGAAUUGCGCCUUAAACUACUGUGCUAGAGGAAGCUAGAGGUGAGCAGAACUGAUGGUGGAGCGGUGAAAUGCGUUGAUAUCAUCAGGAAUACCGGAGGCGAAGGCGGCUCACUGGGGCUUUUCUGACGCUGAGGAACGGAAAGCCAGGGUAGCGAACGGG